GGUUGGUUCCAAACCAUUCAACGCCUCAACGUUUUCUCUCUCCUCUCUCUUCACGUCUCUAUGCGCCUCCAUGGUUCCUCUCCUGCAGAUCUGUUCUGCAAGGAUUCUUUUCUCUUCCAUUACGUCUCGAAUUCGCUUAGGUCUUUUCGAGAUCUACGUUUUCAUGGUGAUUUGAGGGCUGUGAAGAUGUUUUGAGCUGCUGGUUCAUAGCUGGUUUUAUCAGCUCGAGCUCGUCUUCUUCGUGCUUUGGCUCAGAUUUACAGGUUCUGAUUGAUGAUGUUGGAGUUCAUAGCAAGUCCUCGGAGGUUCCAAGACUUGACCGUUUUGAGCCAAAUCCGACGUCGUUUCAGCUGCAGAUCUGGUUCUUCUGGAGUCUAGCGUAUGUUUAUUCGAUAUUCGAAUUGAAUAAUUGUAAUUUGAUGAUCGGGAAGCUGAAAGCUGGGGUGUUUAGGGAUGGUUGGGUUGUGCAACGGAUGUAUAAGAUGUCGGGACGAAAGGAUCAGAGGAAGGGUCUGUGUCCUGGACCGAUCUUUGUCAUCCGACCUUUGCCAUGACAGGUGCGCUUGCAUGGCAGGUCACAAAAAUACCUUAAUAAAAAAACAGAAACGAUUUUUUGGUGUGGAGGGGAGAUUGCAUGGGGUUUUGCCCAGGGUCUCUCCCUCUGUUGUGUGGUGUGUGCUCUGUGUCGUCCUCUCUUUACUCUGUUUUAUUUUUUGUUCUCCUGCUCAUCCAAGCAUGCUAGAUCGUGGACCGCAACGACGACAAAAUCUCAGCCGCCCAAGGUAUCAUCUGCCCGAUUCUAUUUCAAUUGAUAUGCAUCCAUCUAAUUCUAGUACUGAAAUCUGCCACUUGCACAGCCAACUCACGAUCAUUAUUUAAACUGACAUUAAUCUAAUUUGAUCAUGACUAAUUCACAACCCUCAUGUACAAUUAAUUAGUCUUAUGCUUUGAAUUGAUAUUGGAUUAAGCCUUGUUUAUUAUUAUGUAUAAUCCGAUAUAUUUGGUAACCUAAAAUUUAUUAUAGAGAGUAAUGUUUUCUAGAUAAAUGGGUUUCAAGUUUCUGUAACCAUAGAAAAAACAAAAUAUUUUGUAAUUAUGAAGCAUAUGAAUAUGCGGAAUUUUGAAACAGAAAUUUGAACUGGACAUAGUCUUUUGAAUUGUUUGGUAAUUUGGCUAAUCAUAAUAUUUGGGGGAAGUUUCAAUUUGUUUUCAGUAAUCCAUUUUUAUGUGCUAUCAUGUGCUGUAAAACAAGGUCCUAUGCGCGCCCAAAUCUCACAGCCCCACCAUUCAAUUAUUCAAUUCAUCAUGCAAUACUUCGCAAUCCAUACUUACAAGGCCAAAUGCCAAUACAUGUGCACCAAUUCUUGUCUUUAUUUUACUACAGUUCUUGUAUGAGCUGAAAUGAGAUUUUGUGGUGGUUGAGUUUUCGUAUUUAUAAUUUUGUGGGUAUGCACUUCUGAAAUUGUGGUAUAUUCUGGGAUCUCAAGAUUUAUGGAUCCUUUGUAAUAUUGUGUAAUUAUAUUUGCUUUUGGCCGAUAUUGCCUCUAGCAAUGGAUUGUAUUAUAGAUGGUUUGUAGGAGUUUGGCUGCUGGAAGCAAUUUCCUCAAUGAAGCCUGAAUGUUUCUACUCGUUUAUAAACCAAUCAAGACUCUUCUCAGUUACAAGCUGUUGGGUCGCUGGAAAGUUCAAGUUAUGUUAGUCUUCUAUCUCUUUCUGGAAAUCUUGAGGUGAAAAAUGAAUUCAGUUGAGCUUCGCAUUGCCUUUGAUUUUUAAGUUAUUACCAUUAUUCAGCAGUACUUUAUAUAGUUUUGUUCUUAAUUAAUCGAGUUAUUUCAAGGAUUGUUUCAUAUGUUUAUAUUUGUUCGUGUCAGUAUUUUUCUGUCCAUGGACCUUUUAUCUUUUGUUCAAUU